GACGAACGCUGGCGGCGUGCUUAACACAUGCAAGUCGCACGAAGUGGCGAACGGGUGAGUAACGCGUAAUCAACCUGCCCUUCAGCGGGGGACAACAGUUGGAAACGACUGCUAAUACCGCAUACUGAAGGAGGGGAUUGCGUCUGAUUAGCUAGUGGGAGGGGUCACGGCCCACCAAGUCGAUGAUCAGUAGCCGGUCUGAGGGGAUUAACGGCCACAUUGGGACAUAGACACGGCCCAAAAUCCUACGGGAGGCAGCAGUGGGGAAUCUUCCGAAAUGGGCGAAAGUCUUACGGAGCAACGCCGCGUGAGGGAUGGCGGCCUUCGGGUUGUAAAACUCUGUUAAUCGGGACGCGGUACCGGAAGAGAAAGCCACGGCUAACUACGUGCCAGCAGCCGCGGUAAUAC
rnacentral:rRNA from 1 species